rnacentral:tRNA from 10 species
GCGGUUAAGCACACGGGUUGUGUCGCAGGCCUUCCAAGCCUCGCUGAGUAGGGUUCGAUUCCCUCUAGCCGCUCCA